rnacentral:rRNA from 1 species
GACGAACGCUGGCGGCGUGCUUAACACAUGCAAGUCGAACGGGAACCUUUAUUUCGGUAAAGGUGAGAGUGGCAAACGGGUGAGUAACACGUAGGCAACCUGCCGACAGGAUGGGGACAACAUUCCGAAAGGAAUGCUAAUACCGAAUGGAGUCCGGGGAUGGCAUCAUCCUCGGAUAAAAGAUGGCCUCUGAAUAUGCUAUCGCCUGUCGAUGGGCCUGCGUCUGAUUAGCCAGUUGGCGGGGUAACGGCCCACCAAAGCGACGAUCAGUAGCCGGUCUGAGAGGAUGAACGGCCACAUUGGGACUGAGACACGGCCCAGACUCCUACGGGAGGCAGCAGUGGGGAAUCUUCCACAAUGGGCGAAAGCCUGAUGGAGCAACGCCGCGUGAGUGAAGAAGGUCUCCGGAUCGUAAAGCUCUGUUGCACGGGACGAAAACCGGGUUUGAGAAUAUUGAACCCGGGUGACGC